rnacentral:rRNA from 1 species
UACGUAGGGAGCAAGCGUUGUUCGGAAUCACUGGGCGUAAAGGGAGCGUAGGUGGGGAGAUAAGUUAGGAGUUAAAUAUAUAGGCUUAACCUGUAAUCUGCUCUUAAGACUGUCUUUCUUGAGUAUUGGAGAGGGAAACGGAAUUCCAGGUGUAGCGGUGGAAUGCGUAGAUAUCUGGAAGAACACCAGUUGCGAAGGCGGUUUCCUGGCCAAAUACUGACACUGAGGCUCGAAAGCUAGGGGAG